GUACACAGUACCACUACAGUCACGAGGUGAAAAGAGAAACAAAAACAGAUUUUAUUGAUUUCAUUGGGUUUUGGUUCAUUUAAAAAAAGAAAAUAAAUAAACAGUACUCUUAGUAGUGUUAUUAUACUGUUUGACCUUGUUUCGUUACACACAAAAUAUAAAAACUUUUCAAGAUUCUCCAUCACAAAAACUUUUCAAGAUCCCCAUCACAUCGAAUAUGUGGCACAUGUAUAAAGCAUUAAAUAUAUAUUUAAAAAUAACUAAUUAUAUAUUUGAAGAUUAUAAUUUGUGAGAUGAAUCUUUUAAGUCUAAUUAAUCUAUAGUUGAAUACAAACGAAAAUAUUAUAAUACUUAAAAAAAUCAACCAAAAACUAAACAAGGCCUUAUUUUGGGUGAAACCGUGGCAAAAAGACCUGGGCCUUGUUUAGUUAAUACAAAAAAACCAAAAACUUUUAAAGAUUUCCUGUC
rnacentral:lncRNA from 1 species